rnacentral:snoRNA from 1 species
UGCCCUACAGAAGAUGCUCUGCACAAAACUGAUCAAUGUGGCUAAAAUUGAGACACAGGUCAUGCUUCCAUCACAGUAAACAUUUACAGUGGUAACAAUGAGACCUGUAACAUUU